rnacentral:lncRNA from 1 species
GAGGAAAUAAUUGAGAUAAGGGAACAGUUUACAAACCACUGGAUUGUGGGUGGUGAUUUUAAUACAAUUAGAAACAAGAGUGGGAGAAGUAAUUGUGUAGGUUUAUUAAGAGGUUCAAGGGAUUUUGGGAAAUUCAUAGAGAAAUGCAAGUUGGUGGAUUUGCCAUUGCUUGGGAAAAAAACAUUUCACACAACCAUUCGUCAUCUGAUAAGUAUUACCUGAAUAUCAAUUGUUCAAUAGAUGUCAUAGCGUCUCCCAUCCACGGUCUUAUUUAUCUUUGAUAUGAUGCCAUAGUGUCUUUCAACUAUGGUCUUACUCAUUCAUUUUCUGUCAUGUUGCCAUGAUAUCUUUCAACCAUGGUCUUAUUCUUUUCAUGUCACGUUGCCAUGGUAUCUUUCAACCAUGGUCUUACACAUUUCAUAUUAGGUGGCCAUGGUAUCUUUCAACCAUGGUCUUACACAUUUCAUAUCAGAGAGCACACUCCCGCGAACCUCAUCCUUACAAUAGGAUUACCAGUCCAGGCUAAAU